rnacentral:rRNA from 1 species
UACGUAGAGGGCAAGCGUUGUCCGGAAUCAUUGGGCGUAAAGAGCGUGUAGGCGGCUUGGUAAGUCCGCUGUGAAAGUCCAGGGCUCAACCCUGGAAUGCCGGUGGAAACUGUCAAGCUUGAGUCCGGAAGAGGCGAGUGGAAUUCCUGGUGUAGCGGUGAAAUGCGCAGAUAUCAGGAGGAACACCAAUGGCGAAGGCAGCUCGCUGGGACGGUACUGACGCUGAGACGCGAAAGCGUGGGGAGCAAACAGG